GAUGAACGCUGGCGGCGUGCCUAAUACAUGCAAGUCGAGCGAACAGACGAGGAGCUUGCUCCUCUGACGUUAGCGGCGGACGGGUGAGUAACACGUGGAUAACCUACCUAUAAGACUGGGAUAACUUCGGGAAACCGGAGCUAAUACCGGAUAAUAUAUUGAACCGCAUGGUUCAAUAGUGAAAGACGGUUUUGCUGUCACUUAUAGAUGGAUCCGCGCCGCAUUAGCUAGUUGGUAAGGUAACGGCUUACCAAGGCACCGAUGCGUAGCCGACCUGAGAGGGUGAUCGGCCACACUGGAACUGAGACACGGUCCAGACUCCUACGGGAGGCAGCAGUAGGGAAUCUUCCGCAAUGGGCGAAAGCCUGACGGAGCAACGCCGCGUGAGUGAUGAAGGUCUUCGGAUCGUAAAACUCUGUUAUUAGGGAAGAACAAAUGUGUAAGUAACUAUGCCCGUCUUGACGGUACCUAAUCAGAAAGCCACGGCUAACUACGUG
rnacentral:rRNA from 1 species